UGAAAUACGGUUGAGCUGGUCCCUAGAAGAAAACAAGGAGAAACAUUUUUUUCUGUGUGUUAUGUUACAAGGGUGAAUUUUAAGUUUGAAAACUGGCCACUAGGGGUCUCCCUUCUAAUGGCUGACUGCAGCACGGUGUGACGUCACGCCUGAAUUCGGACCGAUUGCGGACGGGUAAUCGGUCCUCGCUCCCUGCCUGCGACUCCUCCUGCACAUGUCGCCGCUGCUGCCCCUGCACGCCUGCUGCCGGACUCUGCAGUAUCAGGAUGGCUUACUGUACCAUGGAAUGGUUUCCCACAUUAUCACACCAGCAGCAGUGGCUACAUGUUACUCCACAGCAAAGGCCGGAUGAAAACAUUCACCAUGAAGCCUCCAUACUCGAAUCUCAUCUUUGUUGGAUCACAAAGUGAACUUGGAUUUGUUGCUAUAGAUGAUAUGGUUACAGACUGUAGCAAUCCAGAACACUGGACCAUUGUAUCAAUAAAAGCACUUUAUGUGUUCUGUCUCAACCCCGUUCCUCAUAGUCUAAGUUCUCAUGAGCAGGGCCCUUACUCCUCCUGUUUGAACAGUUAGUGUAAAAUAUUGUUAUGUCUGAUACUUGUCUUUAUUUGUACCCCAAAAUUGUAAAGUGCUGCGGAA